CCUAACACAUGCAAGUCGAGCGGUAACAGAUCCAGCUUGCUGGAUGCUGACGAGCGGCGGACGGGUGAGUAAUGCAUAGGAAUCUGCCCGAUAGUGGGGGAUAACCUGGGGAAACCCAGGCUAAUACCGCAUACGUCCUACGGGAGAAAGGGGGCUCCGGCUCCCGCUAUGGGAUGAGCCUAUGUCGGAUUAGCUAGUUGGUGAGGUAACGGCUCACCAAGGCCACGAUCCGUAGCUGGUCUGAGAGGAUGAUCAGCCACAUCGGGACUGAGACACGGCCCGAACUCCUACGGGAGGCAGCAGUGGGGAAUAUUGGACUAUGGGGGAAACCCUGAUCCAGCCAUGCCGCGUGUGUGAAGAAGGCCCUCGGGUUGUAAAGCACUUUCAGCGAGGAAGAACGCCUAGCGGUUAAUACCCGCUACGAAAGACAUCACUCGCAGAA
rnacentral:rRNA from 1 species